rnacentral:misc_RNA from 1 species
GAUGAAGAACGUAGCGAAAUGCGAUAAGUAAUGUGAAUUGCAGAGUUCAGUGAAUCAUCGAAUCUUUGAACGCACAUUGCGCCCGCCAGUAUUCUGGCGGGCAUGCCUGUCCGAGCGUCAUUUCAACCAUCAAGCCCCGGGCUUGUGUUGGGGACCUGCGUCCGACGCAGGCCCUGAAAACCAGUGGCGGGCUCGCUGUCCACACCGAGCGUAGUAACUAACCUCGCUAUGGAGUGGCGCGGGCGCCUGCCGUAAAACCCCCAAUUUCACAAGGUUGACCUCGGAUCAGGUAGGAAUACCCGCUGAACUUAAGCAUAUCAAUAAGCGGAGGA